GCUUAAAGAAAAUGUAGUAAGUGAACAUAAGUUAGCUACUCACCAGCACUGGCGUCUCUUCACUGCAAUUCAGUGUCACGUUUGACAAAAGGCGUAGAGGAGAGCUUCUUAAAGCCCCAGAUAGUUUUCAAGUAACACCGGGCAGAUUAAUAUAGGCCUAGUGCAAACUGACUAGUGAGCUAAAACAUCUGCAAGACUGUCAAUGUUUUCAGUGGCCACCACUGUACUUGUACUCACUGUGAUGAAAAUGUUGAGCAGCAAAGUGUUGACCUGACUGCAUAUGAAGCUGACAUCAAUCAUAAGGCACUUUCCAUUUCCUCACAAUUCAACAAGGGGCCAUUAACAUCAGUUCCUGGAGACUCCUCUAAACAGAUACCAUGAAAACUUUGACCCAUCUACAGCUGCUAAAUUCUGCUAACAGUGAAAUCCACAUCUCAACAGCAUGCGCUGCCAGGACCAUGACAACUUCCCAUGAAGCAGUAAGUGAAGCAUUCGGGCAGCAGUUGUUGUGCGCACAUCUCAUUAAUCUCAGCCAUUCUUCAGCGUUGUCAUUGGUCAAGAGACAGGGGUAAUGAGUUCGUCGGCAUCAAAUGGAAGUGAUUGGGAGAAACAUUUUGUUUUAGCUCUUUGGGAAUUUGGUUGCAUGCAUUUGUCUAGUUUUUCUUCUCAGCUCAUUUUUUCUUCACUUUGAGUAAAAAAAAAAUCCGUACUGUAAACUCAAAUUCAAUAGAAAAUGUAAUAACAAAGCUGCACUAAAAAUUUUAACACAGAUUUGAACUUGCAAAUUUCAUUAACAUCAUGACCUUUAACUGGCAACUCUUUUCAUUUUGAGAUGUUUUUAGAUUACUCUGGUUGUUUUUAGAGCUCUUGGUUUGUAUAAAAUAUUGCAAAUCUAGUUAGGAGACCACACUGCUGAUACUGAAAGAAUCAGACUAUGUUUCAUUGUGUGCCAGCAAUGCUGAACAAAUACUGAUAGAAAUACCUGUAGAAAGAUACUGGUCAAUGUCUUUAUUUGCCUUCAUUUCAUGCUUUCUGUAUUAUGUUCAAAGCCUAUGUUUUACUGGAAAAUAAUAUAGCUUUAACACACUGCUUAACUGAUUAUAACCAUGAAUAUUUCUUAGUGAUAGAGCAUGUUAAAUCAUUAUUUCAUCCUUUAAUUAAAGAUAUAUUUUAAAAGUUAUUCAAAAUGGAAAUUGUCAU